AUUGAACGCUGGCGGCAGGCCUAACACAUGCAAGUCGAGCGGAUGAAGGGAGCUUGCUCCUGGAUUCAGCGGCGGACGGGUGAGUAAUGCCUAGGAAUCUGCCUGGCAGCGGGGGAUAACGUCCGGAAACGGGCGCUAAUACCGCAUACGUCCUGAGGGAGAAAGUGGGGGAUCUUCGGACCUCACGCUAUCAGAUGAGCCUAGGUCGGAUUAGCUAGUUGGUGGGGUAAAGGCCUACCAAGGCGACGAUCCGUAACUGGUCUGAGAGGAUGAUCAGUCACACUGGAACUGAGACACGGUCCAGACUCCUACGGGAGGCAGCAGUGGGGAAUAUUGGACAAUGGGCGAAAGCCUGAUCCAGCCAUGCCGCGUGUGUGAAGAAGGUCUUCGGAUUGUAAAGCACUUUUAGUUGGGAGGAAGGGCAGUAAGUUAAUACCUUGCUGUUUUGACGUUACCAACAGAAUAAGCACCGGCUAACUUCGUG
rnacentral:rRNA from 1 species